ACCACGUGGAGAAGCUGCGAACUACAUUCAUUGCUGGUGGACUCUUACUUUCAAAUCCGAACACAGCUAAUUAUAAAGGAAGGUGUAUACUCAAGAAUUGCUAUCGGACCAAGUUGCUGAAGAUAACAAGUCACUAAUGGAAAAGCAGAAAUGUUUUGAGGAGCAGUAUCUGCCACCCUCUCUUCUGUACUAACCACCAACAGCUGGAGACCAGGCAGCAGAAAGGCAAGAGGAGCACGUCUCAUAGAUGCGUGUGCUUAGGCUUGAGGCUGAGCAAAGUUUCCAGGAGAAAGGAAUAGUAGGAUGUGAGAUCUACCUCAGAGACAGGCAAGUCCCCUUUCCACAGCAGUAAGGAAGGUCUUUUUGCUG